rnacentral:rRNA from 1 species
CGCUGGCGGCGUGCCUAACACAUGCAAGUCAACUUGACUGAAGGAGCAAUCUGACAGUAGAGUGGCGCAAGGGUGCGUAACGCGUAAGUAACUUGCCCCAAGGUAAGGAAUAACGUCGAGAAAUCGGCGCUAAUACCUCAUAAUGCAGCGGAUCCGCAUGGAUAUGUUGUUAAAGGUUUACCGCCUUGGGAUAGGCUUGCGUCUGAUUAGUUAGUUGGUGUGGUAACGGCACACCAAGGCUACGAUCAGUAACUGGUCUGAGAGGAUGAUCAGUCACACUGGAACUGAGACACGGUCCAGACUCCUACGGGAGGCAGCAGUGAGGAAUAUUGGGGAAUGCUCGAAAGAGUGACCCAGCAACGCCGCGUGGAGGAUGAAGGUAUUCUAUAUCGUAAACUCCUGUGAGAGCAGACGAAAGACAGAUUAUUAAUCUGGAUGACUGUAUGCUCAGAGGAAGCCCCGGCUAACUACGUG